GGGUCCGUAGGCGGACCUGUAAGUCWGUGGUGAAAUCUCAUAGCUUAACUAUGAAACUGCCAUUGAUACUGCAGGWCUUGAGUAAAUUUGAAGUGGCUGGAAUAASUAGUGUAGCGGUGAAAUGCAUAGAUAUUACUUAGAACACCAAUUGCGAAGGCAGGUCACUAAGAUUUAACUGACGCUGAUGGACGAAAGCGUGGGUAGCGAACAGGAUUAGAUACCCUGGUAGUCCACSCCGUAAACGAUGCUAACUCGUUUUUGGAUUUUCGGAUUCARAGACCAAGCGAAAGUGAUAAGUUAGCCACCUGG
rnacentral:rRNA from 1 species